rnacentral:snoRNA from 1 species
AGCUGAAAACGGGGGCCUGAAGAAUGGCUCUUCUGUUUACAAUACGCCCAACAGGAAUCUCGGGACACUGUGAUAAGGGACACAAAACUAGUGGCCUCCCUAUGAACAAAUGCCCUACAUGU